UACGGGGGGAGCAAGCGUUGUUCGGAUUUACUGGGCGUAAAGGGCGCGUAGGCGGUCAGCACAAGUCAGUUGUGAAAUCUCCGGGCUUAACUCGGAACGGCCAAGUGAAACUGUCAAGCUAGAGUGCGGAAGGGGCAAUCGGAAUUCCUGGUGUAGCGGUGGAAUGCGCAGAUAUCAGGAGGAACACCGUGCGGCGAAGG
rnacentral:rRNA from 1 species